UACGUAGGGGGCAAGCGUUGUCCGGAUUUAUUGGGCGUAAAGAGCGUGUAGGCGGUUCGUUAAGUCCGAUGUGAAAGCCCCGAGCUCAACUUGGGAACUGCAUUGGAAACUGGCGGGCUGGAGUGUGGCAGAGGGGGGUGGAAUUCCACGUGUAGCAGUGAAAUGCGUAGAGAUGUGGAGGAACACCGAUGGCGAAGGCAGCCCCCUGGGCCAACACUGACGCUCAGGCACGAAAGCGUGGGGAGCAAACAGG
rnacentral:rRNA from 1 species